rnacentral:rRNA from 1 species
AAAUUGAAGAGUUUGAUCAUGGCUCAGAUUGAACGCUGGCGGCAGGCCUAACACAUGCAAGUCGAGCGGUAGCACAGAGAGCUUGCUCUCGGGUGACGAGCGGCGGACGGGUGAGUAAUGUCUGGGAAACUGCCUGAUGGAGGGGGAUAACUACUGGAAACGGUAGCUAAUACCGCAUAAUGUCGCAAGACCAAAGUGGGGGACCUUCGGGCCUCAUGCCAUCAGAUGUGCCCAGAUGGGAUUAGCUAGUAGGUGGGGUAACGGCUCACCUAGGCGACGAUCCCUAGCUGGUCUGAGAGGAUGACCAGCCACACUGGAACUGAGACACGGUCCAGACUCCUACGGGAGGCAGCAGUGGGGAAUAUUGCACAAUGGGCGCAAGCCUGAUGCAGCCAUGCCGCGUGUGUGAAGAAGGCCUUCGGGUUGUAAAGCACUUUCAGCGGGGAGGAAGGCGGUGAGGUUAAUAACCUCAUCGAUUGACGUUACCCGCAGAAGAAGCACCGGCUAACUCCGUGCCAGCAGCCGCGGUAAUACGGAGGGUGCAAGCGUUAAUCGAAAUUACUGGGCGUAAAGCGCACGCAGGCGGUCUGUCAAGUCGGAUGUGAAAUCCCCGGGCUCAACCUGGGAACUGCAUUCGAAACUGGCAGGCUAGAGUCUUGUAGAGGGGGGUAGAAUUCCAGGUGUAGCGGUGAAAUGCGUAGAGAUCUGGAGGAAUACCGGUGGCGAAGGCGGCCCCCUGGACAAAGACUGACGCUCAGGUGCGAAAGCGUGGGGAGCAAACAGGAUUAGAUACCCUGGUAGUCCACGCCGUAAACGAUGUCGAUUUGGAGGUUGUGCCCUUGAGGCGUGGCUUCCGGAGCUAACGCGUUAAAUCGACCGCCUGGGGAGUACGGCCGCAAGGUUAAAACUCAAAUGAAUUGACGGGGGCCCGCACAAGCGGUGGAGCAUGUGGUUUAAUUCGAUGCAACGCGAAGAACCUUACCUGGUCUUGACAUCCACAGAACUUUCCAGAGAUGGAUUGGUGCCUUCGGGAACUGUGAGACAGGUGCUGCAUGGCUGUCGUCAGCUCGUGUUGUGAAAUGUUGGGUUAAGUCCCGCAACGAGCGCAACCCUUAUCCUUUGUUGCCAGCGGUUAGGCCGGGAACUCAAAGGAGACUGCCAGUGAUAAACUGGAGGAAGGUGGGGAUGACGUCAAGUCAUCAUGGCCCUUACGACCAGGGCUACACACGUGCUACAAUGGCAUAUACAAAGAGAAGCGACCUCGCGAGAGCAAGCGGACCUCAUAAAGUAUGUCGUAGUCCGGAUUGGAGUCUGCAACUCGACUCCAUGAAGUCGGAAUCGCUAGUAAUCGUAGAUCAGAAUGCUACGGUGAAUACGUUCCCGGGCCUUGUACACACCGCCCGUCACACCAUGGGAGUGGGUUGCAAAAGAAGUAGGUAGCUUAACCUUCGGGAGGGCGCUUACCACUUUGUGAUUCAUGACUGGGGUGAAGUCGUAACAAGGUAACCGUAGGGGAACCUGCGGUUGGAUCACCUCCUUACCUUAAAGAA